rnacentral:rRNA from 1 species
UACGGGGGGGGCAAGCGUUGUUCGGAAUUACUGGGCGUAAAGGGCUCGUAGGCGGCCAGCUAAGUCAGACGUGAAAUCCCUCGGCUCAACCGGGGAACUGCGUCUGAUACUGGAUGGCUUGAGUGUGGGAGAGGGAUGCGGAAUUCCAGGUGUAGCGGUGAAAUGCGUAGAUAUCUGGAGGAACACCGGUGGCGAAGGCGGCAUCCUGGACCACGACUGACGCUGAGGAGCGAAAGCCAGGGGAGCAAACGGG